rnacentral:rRNA from 1 species
GAUGAACGCUGGCGGCGUGCCUAAUACAUGCAAGUCGAGCGAACAGACGAGGAGCUUGCUCCUUCGACGUUAGCGGCGGACGGGUGAGUAACACGUAGGUAACCUACCUAUAAGACUGGGAUAACUUCGGGAAACCGGAGCUAAUACCGGAUAAUAUUUCGAACCGCAUGGUUCGAUAGUGAAAGAUGGCUUUGCUAUCACUUAUAGAUGGACCUGCGCCGUAUUAGCUAGUUGGUAAGGUAACGGCUUACCAAGGCAACGAUACGUAGCCGACCUGAGAGGGUGAUCGGCCACACUGGGACUGAGACACGGUCCAGACUCCUACGGGAGGCAGCAGUAGGGAAUCUUGCGCAAAGGGCGAAAGCCUGACGGAGCAACGCCGCGUGAGUGAUGAAGGUCUUCGGGUCGUAAAACUCUGUUGUUCGGGAAGAACAAAAGUGUAAGUAACUGUGCACGUCUUGACGGUACCUGAACAGAAAGCCACGGCUAACUCCGUG